GCAUCAUGAUUUAGCCAGCAAACCUGAGCAAAGAGAACUUUAGUUCAGGCCCCCGAAACUAGACGAGCUACUCCGGGACAGCCUAUUAUAGGGCUAACCCGUCUCUGUGGCAAAAGAGUGGGACGAGCCCCGAGUAGAGGUGAUAAACCUAUCGAGCCUAGUUAUAGCUGGUUGCUUAGGAAAUGAAUAGAAGUUCAGCCCCCCGGCUUUCUUAGGACCUUAAAGUAAAACUAAUGUUGUCCCAAAGAAACCAGGAGAGUUAGUCAAAGGAGGUACAGCUCCUUUGAACAAGGACACAACCUUAACAGGCGGCUAAGGAUCAUAAUUAAUAAGGUAACCUGUUACAGUGGGCCUAAGAGCAGCCACCUGCACAGAAAGCGUUAAAGCUCAGACAGAUAUAAACCUCUUAUCCUGAUAACAAAUCCCACCCCCCUAACCGUACUAAGCCGUUCCAUGCCUCCAUGGAAGAGAUUAUGCUAGAAUGAGUAAUAAGAGAGAACAACUCUCUCCCAGCACAUGUGUAAGUCGGAUCGGACCCACCACCGACAAAUAACGAACCCAAACCAAGAGGGGACUGUAGGCCAGAAUAAACACCGAGGAAAACCUACACCAACGAAUCGUUAGCCCCACACAGGAGUGCCCCCAGGGAAAGACCCAAAGGAAGAGAAGGAACUCGGCAAACACAAGCCUCGCCUGUUUACCAAAAACAUCGCCUCUUGCAAAUCAAAGCAUAAGAGGUCCCGCCUGCCCUGUGACUAUGGGUUUAACGGCCGCGGUAUUUUGACCGUGCGAAGGUAGCGCAAUCACUUGUCUUUUAAAUGAAGACCUGUAUGAAUGGCAUCACGAGGGCUUAGCUGUCUCCUCUUCCAAGUCAAUGAAAUUGAUCUGUCCGUGCAGAAGCGGACAUAAGCACAUAAGACGAGAAGACCCUAUGGAGCUUUAGACACCAGGCAGAUCACGUCAAACAACCUUGAAUUAACAAGUAAAAACGCAGUGACCCCUAGCCCAUAUGUCUUUGGUUGGGGCGACCGCGGGGGAAAAUUAAGCCCCCAUGUGGACUGGGGGCACUGCCCCCACAGCCAAGAGCUACAGCUCUAAGCACCAGAAUAUCUGACCAAAAAUGAUCCGGCAAACGCCGAUCAACGGACCGAGUUACCCUAGGGAUAACAGCGCAAUCCUCUCCCAGAGUCCCUAUCGACGAGGGGGUUUACGACCUCGAUGUUGGAUCAGGACAUCCUAAUGGUGCAGCCGCUA
rnacentral:rRNA from 1 species